AUACGGGGGGUGCAAGCGUUAAUCGGAAUUACUGGGCGUAAAGCGCGCGUAGGCGGUUUGCUCAGUCGGAUGUGAAAGCCCAGGGCUCAACCUUGGAACUGCAUACGAUACUGGCAAACUAGAGUGUGAGAGAGGAUAGUGGAAUUUCCGGUGUAGCCGUGAAAUGCGUAGAUAUCGGAAGGAACAUCAGUGGCGAAGGCGACUGUCUGGCUCAACACUGACGCUGAGGUGCGAAAGCGUGGGUAGCAAACAGGAGUAGAUACCCUAGUAGUCC
rnacentral:rRNA from 1 species